GCGCGCGGGACUGCCCUGGGGAGCGGUUCGCUGAGUCCGGGCCUCGCGUGCGGAUGGACGCGGUCCCCGAACGUCACUCGGGCUGCCACCCAGUCUCCCGUGUUCAGUACCCGGAGGACCGGUGCUUUCUUCCCGGCCGCUCACCUGGCCUCAGUUUCGCCAAAAGCGGUUUCUUGGUCGUAGGCGACCCGGAGAGGGCCAAUUUGUGGGGCAACCAGUGGGGCAACUGUGCAUCCCCCGCUUGCACCCGUCUUGGCUGGCCUGUGGCCUGCGGGCUGGGGCAGCUUCUGCGUUGAACAUCUGGUGAAUCUUCAAGGAAAGGAAAUGCGAAGCUAUAGCCUGUGGCAAAGAUCACAGCAUCAAUGUCAUCCUCCCUGGAGCCGUCUUCAAAUAUGGCAGCCGUCUCCGUGAAUUCCUGGACAUUUCCUUUCACCUUCACCAAGCCAGAAAUUAUACGAUUUGGCAGGUCAUCAUUGACUGUUGGAUGCUGACUCAGAGCUCUAUUCCGUGACCACCUCCCAUUGGCCUGACGUGGAGAAAUCGGGCCGCUUUUUCACACUGCACACACUGGUCUGAAAAGGAAAGUGACAGCAACAGGGGACGGUAACCACAGCCUCUGCAGUGGACAUCUUUCCUGAGCUGACUCUCCUUGCAGAGUGACACAAAGGGCUGAUAUCACACAAGAAGGCUCAUGCAGGGGUAUUUGAUUUCCAUACUCCACAAGUAAGAACAUUUUUGUGAGAUGUGGUCAGAGCGAGAAAGCUUCCAUGAGAGAGGCUAAAUAAAAUAGAGUUGGCAGGCUAAUGACGCACUCUUCUCAGCUUCUAGAAAAGUGCAGAUUACUAGGUCUCUUGGAUUAUGCCCUAAGGCAGCGAUUUUCAAGUGGUGUGCUGCGAGAAUUUUUAAAACAUGCAAUACCUGACUAUUUAGUCAGAGGCACUGACCUCUUUUCCCUGAGACUGUCAAGUAAAAAAAUGAAUGACAACA